rnacentral:rRNA from 1 species
AUUGAACGCUGGCGGCAGGCUUAACACAUGCAAGUCGAGCGGAGACUUCGGUCUUAGCGGCGAACGGGUGAGUAAUACCUAGGAAUCUGCCUAUUAGUGGGGGAUAACGAAUCGAAAGGUUCGCUAAUACCGCAUACGUCCUACGGGAGAAAGGGGGGAGUCUUCGGACCUCUCGCUAAUAGAUGAGCCUAGGCCGGAUUAGCUAGUUGGUAGGGUAAAGGACCUACCAAGGCGACGAUCUGUAGCUGGUCUGAGAGGAUGGCCAGCCACACUGGAACUGAGACACGGUCCAGACUCCUACGGGAGGCAGCAGUGGGGAAGUAUUGGACAAUGGGGGCGAACCCUGAUCCAGCCAUGCCGCGUGUGUGAAGAAGGCCUCGGUU